rnacentral:rRNA from 1 species
AACGAACGCUGGCGGCAGGCCUAACACAUGCAAGUCGAGCGCCCUUUCGGGGGAGCGGCGGACGGGUGAGUAACGCGUGGGAAUAUGCCCUUCUCUACGGAAUAGCCUCGGGAAACUGAGAGUAAUACCGUAUACGCCCUGUGGGGGAAAGAUUUAUCGGGGAAGGAUUAGCCCGCGUUGGAUUAGGUAGUUGGUGGGGUAAUGGCCUACCAAGCCGACGAUCCAUAGCUGGUUUGAGAGGAUGAUCAGUCACACUGGGACUGAGACACGGCCCAGACUCCUACGGGAGGCAGCAGUGGGGAAUCUUAGACAAUGGGGGCAACCCUGAUCUAGCCAUGCCGCGUGAGUGAUGAAGGCCUUAGGGUUGUAAAGCUCUUUCAGCUGGGAAGAUAAUGACGGUACCAGCAGAAGAAGCCCCGGCUAACUCCGUG